UACGAAGGGUGCAAGCGUUACUCGGAAUUACUGGGCGUAAAGCGUGCGUAGGCGGUUUGUUAAGUCCGUUGUGAAAGCCCUGGGCUCAACCUGGGAAUUGCAGUGGAUACUGGCGAGCUAGAGUGCGGUAGAGGAUGGUGGAAUUCCCGGUGUAGCGGUGAAAUGCGUAGAGAUCGGGAGGAACACCCGUGGCGAAGGCGGCCAUCUGGACCAGCACGUGACGCUGAGGCACGAAAGCGUGGGGAGCAAACAGG
rnacentral:rRNA from 1 species